rfam:Musa acuminata subsp. malaccensis Doubled-haploid Pahang (DH-Pahang) genomic chromosome, chr3
UGGGCUUCAUCACUUUAAUCAAGACCUUUAUAUUGCUUGUCUAUUUAGAGGUCUGUUGUGUUUGAAGCGAGAAAAAAUGGCUGCCUCGCUAUCCGCUGCAAACUCUUCUGUUUUGCAUUUGGACGUUGGUGAGCUACAUUA